AAGGGCACCACAAGAACGCGUGGAGCAUGUGGCUUAAUUUGACUCAACGCGGGAAAUCUUACCGGGUCCGGACACACUGAGGAUUGACAGGUGUUUGUGGUUAACACUCUUCUGAGUGUUUUCCACUAUAAAUAUGCCAGUCCUUUCAUGAUUGUGUGAUAGGUGGUGCAUGGCCGUUCUUAGUUCGUGGAGUGAUCUGUCUGCUUAAUUGCGUUUCACAAAGAACUUUCUAACUUUUACCUGUUGCGCGGCAUUGUGUCCUUUAAUUAGGUACCGAUGUCUGUGCACGGUAGAGAAAAAGUUCUGAAGGCAACGAACGUGACCGCAUCCUCUUGUUGCCUCUUUUGAUUUAUUCAACAUGAGCAUUCUAUCUAUCUAGAUAGGUGUUCUGCAUAGAGUGCGAACUAGAGGGACCGCUGACGACUUUUAAAACAGAGGAAGGUUGCGGCAAUAACAGGUCUGUGAUGCCCUUAGAUGUUCCGGGCUGCACACGUGCUACAAUGAUUAUUGCAGUGAGCAUAUAAUUUUAUAAGGUUCUGUGCUUGUGUUUGGUAGCUUUUGUUGCCAUACACAGUACGGCCAUUGACCGGCUUCGAAAGUAAGCCGGUAAUCAAUUCGAAGUAAUGAUUUCCUUUCGCACAUACUUAUAUCUCUUGC
rnacentral:rRNA from 1 species